AACAAAUAAUUUGGUAAUAUAUGUAUGGCCCACACAAUAUUUAGGACAACAAUAUUUGGGACAUACUUAUGCUAAAAAAGUAUUUGUUGA
ensembl:miRNA MIR1302-6 microRNA 1302-6